rnacentral:lncRNA from 1 species
GCUUGAUCUCCCUUAACUUCUCCGACCCACUGGUUAGUAGGAAAUUUCAAUUUCAGAUGGUAGGUUGAUACUACAGCCCGGAGAGCAUUGAGGCCAGGUCGGGCGAGAAUUGCGUUGUAGGCUGACGGUGCCUUCACCACCAGAAAAUCCACCAGAGCCCUGGACUAUUUUGGAUAUCGACCUGCAACUACAGUCAAGGUUAUUACUCCCUCC